AACGAACGCUGUCGGCAUGCCUAACACAUGCAAGUCGAACGAAGCCUUCGGGCUUAGUGGCGCACGGGUGCGUAACGCGUGGGAAUCUGCCCUUGGGUUCGGAAUAACAGUUAGAAAUGACUGCUAAUACCGGAUGAUGUCUUCGGACCAAAGAUUUAUCGCCCAAGGAUGAGCCCGCGUAGGAUUAGGUAGUUGGUGGGGUAAUGGCCCACCAAGCCGACGAUCCUUAGCUGGUCUGAGAGGAUGAUCAGCCACACUGGGACUGAGACACGGCCCAGACUCCUACGGGAGGCAGCAGUGGGGAAUAUUGGACAAUGGGCGAAAGCCUGAUCCAGCUAUGCCGCGUGAGCGAUGAAGGCCUUAGGGUUGUAAAGCUCUUUUACCAGGGAUGAUAAUGACAGUACCUGGAGAAUAAGCUCCGGCUAACUCCGUGCCAGCAGCCGCAGUAA
rnacentral:rRNA from 1 species